AGCUGUUUGGACACAUCUACUAAACCUUGUUUGUUUUCCUUAAGAAUGCCUCGCUAUUCAUGAUGCUUUGUGUCAUGCCUGUGGAAAGAUUUUGUUUUUACCACCUUACAAAUAAGAAAAUGUUACCUUAGCCUGUUUGUACUUCCUGUUCUUGUUACCGUUGUGUCAGCCAUAAUUUUUUUUCACCUCAGUAACAGCAGUUGAUUUCAGCUUGCAAUUUUUUCCAACACUCAGAGACAGAAUCUGUUCUGCCACCCUUCGGAGGCACCAGCAACAGCUGACAGUGUCCAUGAGAGGCCUGGAUCCUAGUUCCCUGGACCCCCAACUCCAAGCAGAGACAUCAGUGGUGGCUGAGCACUGUCCAAU
rnacentral:lncRNA from 1 species